AGAAACAACUAUGCUGUGUUCACGCGGUAUUCUUCGCCGGUUCGGAAACAGUCCUAUCUUGAAAGUACUAAAACACCCAUUUCCCUCAGUCCAACCUUAAGUCUUCACCUGCACGAUACUCUCCCCGUCCGGCAAUGGGCGAUCAGACUAGGCCACAGCCCGUCACCGGCUACGCCGCCGGACCGGCUAAUCAAAACGGUUAUCCCCCACCCUCCUCCGGCACUGCCUAUCCUUAUGCCGCUCCGCCUCCCGCUGCCUACAACUAUAAUUACUACAACAACAAUAACCCUUACUACCAGCAGCCCGAUGCUUACGCCGUGCAACGCGCCACCUUCCUCCGACGCGUGCUCGCCAUAUUCAUCGCCUGCUUCGUCAUCGCCGGCGCGGUUAUCUUCAUCGUCUGGCUCAUCCUCCGUCCCCGCCUCCCCGAGGUCCGCGCGGAUUCGUUGUCGCUUUCCAGCUUCAACCUCUCGGAUAACUUUCUGUCGGGGAAUUGGGACUUCCAGUUCACGGCUCGGAACCCUAACAAGAAGAUGACUAUCGACUACGAUGACAUUCAGGCCUUGAUUUACUACGACUCGAAGCAGCUUGCUGAGACCAGUGUGGCGCCUUUCUUUCAGGAUAAGAGGAACGAGACCGCCUCCAAUGCUACAUUCGCUGCUACUAGAACGUUUGUGGAUAAUAGGGUUGUGGAAGGGAUCAAAAAGGAGACGCCCAACAUUGAAUUCGAUGUGCUUAUGCUGGCUAGGGUAAAGUUCAAGGCGGGAUCGUGGAGGGCGAGGAGUAGGUUUCUGAGAGUUUAUUGUGGGGAGUUGAAGGUCGGACUUGUCCAAAACAGAUCUUCUGGCAACUUGUUAGGAGGUCCAAGGCAGUGCGUAGUGCGGCUUUGAUGGUGGCUAACUGCACUUUCAGCUCUAACAGCACAUGCAAGUUCAUUUGGUAUGUGCUUUAGUGAGUUAUCACACAAAUGAACACAAGCAGAGAUGUUUUCUUCAAGCAGGGGAAACAGUUUGUACAUUGGGAUCAUAUUGUGCAUGAAUUUGGCACCGUGGUUUGAGUUUGGCACUUUGGCACUUGGAAUGAAGAACUAACUUUUUGCUUCUUUGCUGUAAUAUAUAAAUUGAAACAGUAUGACAUCAUUGCCAGACUUGUAGGAUUCUAGCAAGUAUUCCUCCUAUUAACCAUAUAGUCUAAAACCUGAACUCAAAGAAGAAUUAGAGCUGCUGGGCGCCUGGGCUGGAGUCUGGAGACCGAGACUGCUGUGGGCUUGUGGUGCUGGGGGCUGGGUGAGAGUUGCAAUCGAGUGGUUCUGUGCUGGGCUGCUGCGGUUCUCUGAAUGAAGCGCAAUGAUGGGCAAGAUUAAGUUUUUUUGCUCAAAACUAGAUCAUUUUGAGUGAAGCAAGGAAAAACUGACUAGUUGGCUAAGGGCAUAAUAUGGCAACUUACCCAUUCUUCCCUUUGGCUAGGGGUGCCUAGCACCUAGUCACCACGUAGGCAGAUGUACAAAUUAUUGGGAGAAGAUGUUCUAUAAUAACUACCUUUAGAUAUAAAGUGAUCUAGAGUUAAGGCUAGUGUGAAGUGUAGUGAAAGAAAUUUAAUUGUGGUCGUCUGGCACCUGUAAUAAACAAUUAGUGUCAAAGCUGGUUUAUAGUAACUAGCUUUAGAUACAAAAGGGAUACUUUAAUUAGGUCUGUUAUUUCUUCAAAAAAAAAAGUCUGUUAUAGACAGUAUGAUAUGGACAAAAGAUUAUUGCUA